ACUAUUAUAGGCUUUAAUACUCUUUCCAAGAAAACAAUUUUCAUAGAUAAAGAUUUGUUAUAAAUAUUAAUUGUACCACAUAUUAGAUAUAUGAUUAUUAGAAUAAAAAAUUUCGCCUUUUUAUGCAAUAUUAACAUUGCAAAAGUUCGGAAAAUGCGAUACUGGAGAAAAACAUGUAAUAAACUGUGCCAAAUAGCAAAGAAGAGAUUUUCGAGGAGAGAGAAAGAGAAGAAAUUCCUACAAUGCAACUCGCGUCAAUCGCGUCGGACUCGAAGCCAGAACUUAUUCCGUCGCCAAAUCUCUAUCGUGCAAUAAGUGUCGUCUCUGGUGUUCUAUUAUGAGUUUAUUAUGAGUAUAUUAUAUGUAGUGAUUCGAAGUGAUCCUUAUACGGUGUCUAGUGAUCGAGUUGCAUUAUUGUUAUGCUAAAUUGCAAUGGGACGGUUUUCUUUCGCUUUAAUAUAUUUAUCUUGAGAACUAGUUUUGUGCUAAUUAAUUAGUUAUACAAAUGAUCGCUGUGAUGUUCGAAUCUCACACAAUACUGCUGUUGCUCUUAAUAAUCUGUGUAUCAUUUACAUGACGCUUUAUUUAAACGUUAUCCGCUUGCAAAUUAUAUCUUUAUAAAUAUCGUUCCUUGCUGAUCUAUGUAUACCCUAUUUUAUUCUAUCGUAUACCUAUUGCGGCGUGCCAGUAUUUGCCAUUUCCUUUCUUUAAGCCAGCGUUGUGUCAUUCCCAUUAAUUAUAAUGGCGCGCUGUCAGAUGUAUUUCGCUGGUGCUGCACAAGAAACAAUAUUAGAUAAAAUAUGUAACACAAUAAACGUACACAAAGUAGCACUUAAAAUUAACUACUUGCAUUCGAGAGGUGACUCUCAGUCAGCACUUAUUUCUUUGCGGCAAUUCAAGCGAUGAUUCUUGGUCACCAUUCGGUUUGAUGCAAUACGUCGAGCGACGGUGAUAUUUAUUUUCUUUGAAACUCGAAGCGUUGUAUAACCUUCUGAAAUGUAAAAUGAUACAUAUAGUGAUAAGAUUUUCUCCGAUUCGAGAAAUUAAUAAGACCCGACCUUCUAGGAUCAACAGGAAUACUGUUAGAUCUUUGCACAAUGCAGUUGGAGAAAAUUUCUGGUGUUCAGGGACAUCAUAUGUUCCCAGACAGAUAUUAUACAAGUUAUACCUUGUCGGAAGAAUUACGAAAAUUGAAAUGUCAUUUGGCCGGAACGAUCCUAACAAAUAGGAAGAAUUUACCAAAUCCUAUAAAAAAAAAACAAAAUUUUGUAACGAAUCCACAGUAGCAUACUGGAAAGGCAAUAGGUUCGUGACAUGUCUAACUGAUCGGUAUAAUGCAGGAUUGACUCCUACAAAAAGAAUUUUACUAAUGCUAUAACAAAGUAUAUAAUAUUAUAUAUAUUAUAUUAUUAUUAUAUUAUAUAUAAUAUAUGAUCGUGCCGACCAAUAUUCAUACUGUUAUUUAAAGAAAUCCUUGAAAUGGUGGCGAAAACUAUUUUUUUUGGAGCCUAGAAAUAAAUAUAAAUGGAAAACUACAUGUCAUUCUAACAGAAAAUAAAGAGGAUUGUAUGGUCUGCUUUUGACGAAAUGAGUCCAGCAAAAGACACCAAACAACAUAUUACGAGGCAAUACGUGCCUCGACAAGCUGGGGAUGCAUCUUGGCAAUAUAAAAUAUUAUAUUAAACGACAGUAAAGAGACUAACAUUUAAGAAAUUUUCUUCCUUGAAACGUAAAGAUAUAUAAAAAUAAAAAUAUGAAAGUUUUAUACAUUAACUUAUAUGUGUAAUCAUUUUAAGUUAGAGGUAAGCAAUUCACCAAACAUGCCGCUAAACGUCUCGAGUUGCUGGUUCACCCGAGCGAAAAGGAUUAAUAUACUAUAUUAAGUGUAUUAAAAUAUAAAUUUGUAUUCUUUAUGUGAUUGGAAUUAUCGAGGAUUGGCUCUGCUAUUGUUCCAAGAUCCUUCUAUUACAUCAUUAAAUAUUACAUGGUUUGCUUACGGUUACAAGUGAAUCCCCAGAAUAAAAGUCAAUUUCAUGGAAUAAGUCCAGAGAGAGGAUUUGCAGAUUUUAUUUUUGCACAUGUAAUUCUACAUAUUGUUGUUAUGAAUUUCAUUGGUUGAAAAUGAAAAAUGAGAUUUUACUUGUAAAAUUUUGUAAUAAACUACUAAAAGCAUUAUUAUA